rnacentral:rRNA from 1 species
UACGGGGGGGGUAAGCGUUGUUCGGAAUUACUGGGCGUAAAGGGCUCGUAGGCGGCCAACUAAGUCAGACGUGAAAUCCCUCAGCUUAACUGGGGAACUGCGUCUGAUACUGGAUGGCUUGGAUUCGGGAGAGGAAUGCGGAAUUCCAGGUGUAGCGGUGAAAUGCGUAGAUAUCUGGAGGAACACCGGUGGCGAAGGCGGGUUGCUGGGCCGACACUGACGCUGAGGCGCGAAAGCUAGGGGAGCGAACGGG